rnacentral:rRNA from 1 species
GACGAACGCUGGCGGCGUGCUUAACACAUGCAAGUCGAACGGAAAGGCCCUGCUUUUGUGGGGUGCUCGAGUGGCGAACGGGUGAGUAACACGUGAGUAACCUGCCCUUGACUUUGGGAUAACUUCAGGAAACUGGGGCUAAUACCGGAUAGGAGCUCCUGCUGCAUGGUGGGGGUUGGAAAGUUUCGGCGGUUGGGGAUGGACUCGCGGCUUAUCAGCUUGUUGGUGGGGUAGUGGCUUACCAAGGCUUUGACGGAUAGCCGGCCUGAGAGGGGGACCGGCCACAUUGGGACUGAGAUACGGCCCAGACUCCUACGGGAGGCAGCAGUGGGGAAUAUUGCACAAUGGGCGGAAGCCUGAUGCAGCAACGCCGCGUGCGGGAUGACGGCCUUCGGGUUGUAAACCGCUUUCGCCUGUGACGAAGCGUGAGUGACGGUAAUGGGUAAAGAAGCACCGGCUAACUACGUG